AGUGAACGCUGGCGGUAGGCCUAACACAUGCAAGUCGAACGGCAGCACAGUAAGAGCUUGCUCUUACGGGUGGCGAGUGGCGGACGGUGAGGAAUACAUCGGAAUCUACUUUUUCGUGGGGGAUAACGUAGGGAAACUUACGCUAAUACCGCAUACGACCUACGGGUGAAAGCAGGGGAUCUUCGGACCUUGCGCGAUUGAAUGAGCCGAUGUCGGAUUAGCUAGUUGGCGGGGUAAAGGCCCACCAAGGCGACGAUCCGUAGCUGGUCUGAGAGGAUGAUCAGCCACACUGGAACUGAGACACGGUCCAGACUCCUACGGGAGGCAGCAGUGGGGAAUAUUGGACAAUGGGCGCAAGCCUGAUCCAGCCAUACUGCGUGGGUGAAGAAGGCCUUCGGGUUGUAAAGCCCUUUUGUUGGGAAAGAAAAGCAGCAGGUUAAUACCCCGCUGUUCUGACGGUACCCAAAGAAUAAGCACCGGCUAACUUCGUG
rnacentral:rRNA from 1 species